GCUCAAGACGAACGCUGGCGGCGUGCCUCAUACAUGCUCGUCAAGCGAAUGAUGACAAGCUUGCUUCUCUGAUUUAUCGGCCGACGGUGUGAGUAACACAUGGGCAACCUGCCCUGUAUACUGGGCAUAACUUCUGGAACACCGGUAGCUAAUACCGGUAGUAAUUCUUUUAGCCUCCUGGCUUUAAGCGAAAAUGAGCUUCUGCCUCCCUACCCGAUGGGCCCGCGGUGCAUUAGCUAGUUGGUGGGGUAACGGCCUACCAAGGGAACGAUGCAUAGCCGACCUGAGAGGGUGAUCGGCCACAUUGGGACUGAGACACGGCUCAAACUCCUACGGGAGGCAGCAGUAGCGAAUCUUCCACAAUGGACGACAGUCUGAUGGAGCACCCCCGCGUGAGUGACGAAGGUUUUCGGAUCGUAAAACUCUGUUGUAAGGGAAGAACAACUGCUGUUAGGUAAUGAACGCACCUUGACCGUACCUUAUUAGAAAGCCACGGCUAACUACCUGCCAGCACCCGCGGAAAUAUGUAGGUGGCAAGCGUUGUCCGGAUUUAUUGGGGGUAAAGCGCGCGCAGGUGGUUUCUUACGUCUGAUGUGAAAGCCCCCGGCUCUCCCGUGGAGGGUCACUGUAAAAUGGGAGACUUGAGUGCACAAGAGGAUAGUGGAAUUUCAAGUGUAGCGGUGAAAUGCGUAGAGAUUUGGAGGAACACCACUGGGGAAGGGGACUGUCUGGUCUGUAAAUGACACUGAGGCGCGAAAGCGUGGGGAGCAAACACGAUUAGAUACCCUGGUAGUCCACGCCGUAAACGAUGAGUGCUAAGUGUUAGGGGGUCUCCGCCCAUUAGUCGCUGCAGCUUACGCAUUAAGCACUCCGCAUUGGGGAGUACGUCCGCCAAGGUUGAAACUCAAAGGAAUUGACGGGGGCCCGCACAAGCGGUUGAGCAUGUGGUUUAAUUCGAAUCAUCGCGAAGAACCUUACCAGGUCUUGACAUCCCAAUGACCGUUUUAGAGAUAAGAUUUUCCCUUGGUGUACAUUGGUGACAGGUGGUGCAUGGUUGUCGUCAGCUUGUGUGUUGAGAUGUUGGGUUAAGUCCCGCAACGAGCGCAACCCUUAUUGUUAGUUGCCAUCUUGUAGUCUGGGCACUGUAAGGAGACCCGCCGGUGACAAUCAGGAGGAAGGUGUGGAUGUCGUCAAAUCAUGCAUCCCCUGUUAUAGAACUGUGGACUACAUACGUGAUACAAUGGACGGUUCAAUGAUCUGCUAGCCCGGGAGGUUCAGCCAAUGUCACAAAUCAGUUAUCAGUUAUGAUCGUAUGUCUGCAAUUAUCCUUCUCGAAACGGGAAUUUCUUGUAUUCGCGGAUCAGCAUGAAGCGGUGAACAAGUUCCCGGCCCUAGCACACACCGCCC
rnacentral:rRNA from 1 species